UACGUAGGGCGCGAGCGUUGUCCGGAUUUAUUGGGCGUAAAGAGCUUGUAGGCGGUUUGUCGCGUCUGCUGUGAAAUUUCGGGGCUCAACCCCGAACUUGCAGUGGGUACGGGCAGACUAGAGUGUGGUAGGGGAGACUGGAAUUCCUGGUGUAACGGUGAAAUGCGCAGAUAUCAGGAGGAACACCGAUGGCGAAGGCAGGUCUCUGGGCCAUAACUGACGCUGAGAAGCGAAAGCAUGGGGAGCGAACAGG
rnacentral:rRNA from 1 species